rnacentral:rRNA from 1 species
UCGGGAAUUUUGGGCAAUGGGGGAAACCCUGACCCAGCAACGCCGCGUGAAGGAUGAAGUAUUUCGGUAUGUAAACUUCGAAAGAAUAGGAAGAAUAAAUGACGGUACUAUUUAUAAGGUCCGGCUAACUACGUGCCAGCAGCCGCGGUAAUACGUAGGGACCAAGCGUUGUUCGGAUUUACUGGGCGUAAAGCGUGCGCAGGCGGUUGUGUAAGUCAGAUGUGAAAUCCCCGGGCUCAACCUGGGAAUUGCAUUUGAGACUGCACGGCUAGAGUGUGUCAGAGGGGGGUAGAAUUCCACGUGUAGCAGUGAAAUGCGUAGAUAUGUGGAGGAAUACCGAUGGCGAAGGCAGCCCCCUGGGAUAACACUGACGCUCAUGCACGAAAGCGUGGGGAGCAAACAGGAUUAGAUACCCCAGUAGUCCCUGAGCGGGCUGGCAAGGCGCAU